rnacentral:lncRNA from 1 species
CAGCAGAGGGAGCUAAAAUGAAUGAGCUGAGGUUGCUGCCGUCAUCAUCAAUGCUUCCAACGCACAAGGAUUUGAAAACCAGACACAUCACCUUUCCAUUCCACCUGAAACAUGAUUUGAACAGAGAGUAGGGGGGCACCCCUCACCUAGAAGCCAUUGACUGCUCCAGACACUAAACAAUCCAGGAGUGUACCUGAGCCUUUUCGUCUGCUCCAUCUGAGAGUUAUCAGCAUUCUGUGUCAGUGCAUGGCUGCAAUGCAGAAGGUGGCAGUGCAUUCACUCUUAUUAAUAUGCUGAAAAUAUUUGCUUCCUGACAUCUGUCAUUUUGCAUAACUGUGAACACAAACCAUAGACACCAUCUGGGAUGUCAGGGCAAAGGGAAGUGUGGCUGUUUGAAAUUCCUUUCCAAUUUAAUUUCACAGUUUUAAAGAGCCCUGUUUUUCUUCCAUGAUAAUUAUAGGGAAAAUAAUUAACUAUUAUCCUCUGAGUGAUAAAAUUACUACAAAUUAAGAAACAGUUAUGAAUAUAAUUUACAAAUAAUUAUGUGAUAGCAGUAUGAAAGUGCAAGACUAAUGGAACAAAAUUAAUUAAAGCUAUUGAGAGAUAAUCUUUUCUAUUUAUUUGUUUUGGUUCCUCGAGGGCAGACUGUCCCAAAAUGACUUACAACAGCUACAAUUAUAAUUCAGAGGGAUAUCUGAAGAAUGUGCUCACAAGUGUGUAUGGUAAAUAUGUUGGGUUUCAUUGCCAGUGGCACACAGCUAGAAGUCUCAGCAGGACCUCCAGAGAAACAGAGCUGUCUUAAUACAAAGU